GAAUUCACCACUGCGGUACAUCACACACACACACACACUCCGCGUGUACCCCUUUUUUUUUGUUGGAUUGCAACAGCGGUCCGCGCUUCCACCUCUCCGUCGCUCCUCCUCUUAACAGAUCUUCGUAUCGUCGUCAUUGUCGUGCGCUUGCCUUACACUCCCCUUUUCUCUGUGUGUGUCUCUGUCCUGCACUCGCGCGCCUUGUCGUUGGGGUAACGCCACAACAGACAGCCGUCUCUCUCUCUGUCCCCUUUUCUCUUGUUUUGGGAUGAGUAGAGGGGUUUCUGGCUUUUAACGUUCGUGUUUCGUUCUGUUGUGGGCGUGCCUUCAAGGCCUGCGGCUCCUCCCCACCUACCCAACAACCCCCACCGUCGCCUGCACACUCCCCAGCCACGCGCUUACGCACACACAUCCGUCGACGUGCUUGCCUCUUGCCCGGUGUGCUUCCCUUUGGAUGGGCAUCCCGCAACGGCGCACGCCUUUGUUUUUGUCUGUUUCUUCCUGUUCUGUGCGCUAAAGCUCCCGUCUGAUGUUGGAUUCCGUCGGGCCGCACGGCCACCGCGCUUGUCCUUGUUUUCGUUAUUGUUGUUCUCCUCUUCACAUAACCCAACCUAACCCUCCCCAUCCCCGCGACGAGUAACGCCCGAACGCCUACACCAACGUCCUCGCAGACACACACUCGCAUAAGAAUUUACAGCCUCGAAGUAUACUGACCCUGUCUGGUGCGAUACGUGCGCGCGCUCACACACACACACGCACGCACGCGCAUGCAGACGUGAAUAUACAUAUAGACACCACACACGGAAUAAAAAGGAAUUAACAACGAACCAGUAUUGCCACUGCCAUCUAUCCACUCUCGAACCCAUGUCCGACCUCAAGAAGGAUGUACUGUCUAUCGACGGCAUCUACUACGACACUGAGAAGUUGGCGCUGAUGCACCCUGGCGGUGCGAUGAUGGUGCGCCUCUGCAACGGCCGGGAGUGCACGGCGAUCUUCCUUUCCUACCACCGCCGCCGCUUCCCCCACGCGCUCUACGAACAGUACCAGGUGCCAAAGGACCAAGUGCACCCCGGCAGUCUGAUCGAGCAACGCCAGCAGCCGAGCUACGACAGUUACCUGGAGCUGUGCAAGAGGAUUCAACCGAUUAUUGCACCAACCAAGGGUUUUGCUCCGUGGUACUACUACCUAAAGGCGGCGUUCUGGCUAACGGUGAUGCUCGGGCUCGAUCUCUACUCCCUGUUCUACCGCCGCGCGUACUUCUUGACCGUUAUCCAGUCGCUUUCCAUGGCCAUGGUCGGCCUGAACGUUCAACACGACGCCAACCACGGCGCACUGAGCCGCGACUGGCGCGUCAACCGCAUUCUGGGUCUCUCGCAGGAUAUGCUGGGUGGUAGCAGUAUCAGCUGGAUUGUGAACCACGACUACGUUCAUCACAUCUACACUAAUGAGCCGGGGCGUGAUGCCGACCUCGAAAUACCGCUGCUUCGCCUGCACAGCGGCAUCCCGGUCAGGCUGGCUUACUGCUUGCAGCAGUUCUACAUCUUCUUUCUCGAGGCCGCCUUUGGUCCGGCGCACGUGCUCUUCAACAUCAUCUUCCUCGCCAAGGGCCCGAGUGAGAAGCAGCGUCUCAUCAAGACGCAGUGGGUCGUGAGCCUGUGCAUGCUCUCCAUCGUCCCGUACCGUCUCCUGUGCAACUUCCUGCACGCGACAAGCUUCUGCGACGGCGUGAUGAGCUGCGUGCUGCAGUACGCGCUUGGCGGCUUCUAUCUCGCCUACUUUUUCCUCUUGUCGCAUAACUUCGACGGCGCCAAGAAGGUCGGCACAAGCGACGGACAGGACUUCGUCGCUUGCCAGGGGGAGACGAGCUGCAACUUUGGUGGCUGGUGGUGGGGCCAGAUAAACGGCGGCCUCAACUUCCAGAUUGAGCACCACCUAUUCCCACGGGUGCACCAUGGUUACUACGCCUACCUGGCGCCGAUUGUGCGCAAGUUCUGCGAGGAGCGUGGCUUCACCUACACCCACUACCAUACGAUUCAGGAGAACAUGAUGAGCACAUUCCGCCACAUGGAGCAGUACGGACGUGGUCGGGAGAAGCGGAAGAGCGCUUAGGCGGAACUCAAACGGCACACGGCGAUUUUACGUAAGAAGGUGUUACUGAAGCCGUCGACGAGGAAGGAAGGAAGGAUUUUUCACAAUAGUGGCUGCUUGGCGUCGGCUCUGGUGGCUCUCACGUGCGCAGGCUGCUCCUGCAGCACCCCGCCCCGCUCCUUUACGAGCCACAACGCCGCUAUCAAACGCCGACUCUUCGCCCUGUCUGCUCUCCUUAGAUCACGGCACACUUUUUUUUGUAUCUUGUUUUCGCUUUUCCAGUGAGCUCUUCAUAUUCCUUCCUAAAAUUCGUGCACACAGAUAUGUACGUAUACCGAUAUAUAUAUAUAUAUAGGAAUGCCUAUGUGUAUGCAUAUGUAGGUAUGCGUAUAACUAGCGCUACAAUCUCAUGUGCGUUAACUUGAAUAAGAGAGCUGCAGGCGUCGUGUUGUGCAAGUGCGCCUGGUUGUGUCUCGCGAGAGACGUGCGGUGGACCACCGAAGUACGGAGGCGAAGGGCUUCUUUAGCGUUCGCAAACGCACGUAAAGAAAAAAAUAAUAUAUAGAACGAAAUAGAAAAGCUGCAGCAGCUUAGCGAGGAAAGCGGGCGGUGAUGCGUGCUUGUGAGGGGGACGCGCAUCACCGCAGUUGUUGCACACGCAACGUAUCACCGCUGUAUCCAUGGAUGCAAGCCGUGGCUCCCCUCAAAAGCCCUCCUGUCUUUUGUCGCCUCCGUCUGUUGCUCAAG
rnacentral:misc_RNA from 1 species